UAUCUUGAAAGAAAUUGCUGUGGCUGAUAUCGAAGAGGUUACUGCCUAUGUUCUCCUCUAGGAUUCUGAGGGAUUCCUGUCUCACGUUGAGGUCGGAGCACAGCAUUUUUAUCUGCACAUAAACGUUUGAAAAGUCUCCAUCUCAUCACUCCUUUCUCCAUCAUUGCUUUCUCCGUGAGCGACUGAUCCUAUUCACGGCACUCAGCUGCCCCGAAAGCAUAUCUCAGAGGCUCCUGAAUGCUUACCUGUAGAUCGGAGGAGGUUGGAGACGUGGCUUUCACCCUCUGCAGUGAAGUGAGAACAAUGAGAGGUGUGCAGCGUGAUUUUUCAUGACGGCAAACAUCUUGGUUUCAAAGGACUGCCCUCUUUGUCGCUGUACCUUUAAAAGGUCUCGUACGCUGCCAACGUUAUUCAUGUUCAUUGUUUUUGUUGUUCUCCUUUCUUUAAUGCACAGAAUUCAGUCGGCAAUACAUCAGAACACGGAACAUGGACUCUGACUCUUUGGUUCUCCUUGAUCCUCCUCCAUGCACAGAUCAGACACUCUAACAUUGGAGCAUUGAAGCUGGUGAUUUUAUACCCAUUUAACAGAAGAGUAAAUGGAGUCUCAAAGAAGUUUGAUAAUUAUUGUUGCCGUGGAUUUUGCAUUUGGCUCUGAGAUGGGAUCACAGAUUGGAGCAAACUUACUCUCUCCUUCUACUAAACCAGAAAAACCACUGGGUUUUUCUAUGAUUUGAUACUCUUCAAAUCUUUGGGUCCAGGUUCUCACAAAAGUAUGCCUAGGUUAGAGACAGUAACUAACAUGACUUCUUUGGGGAACAAAUAAGUUUUGAGCUCUAUGUAUUAAGAUCCUGUCAAUAUGCCCUCUCAAAUUAUAUGCUUCUUAAGGGAAGAAAGCUGCUUUAAUAAAAAUAGAUCCUACACGACAUGUUAUUCUUUAUAAUUGGACCAAAGAUCACAAAGAGCAUACACUUACAAGAUAAUCUGAAAAUGAACAGACAAAUAAUAUAGUAAUCACCAAAUCCUUAUUACUUGAAGCCUAUACGCGCCAGGAGGCCCUCUCUCCCUUGAUGAUCAAGCCUGACCCCUAUUAAUUUUAAUAGGAGUUAAGUAGUCACAUCAAGGGAAGUAUCAGUGAGUACUGGAAGCAAACCAACCCCGGAGAUUAAGACCUCCACUUUUGGCUUUCUGCUGAAAAUGUGACACAUCGCCUGAUGCUUAUCUGCUUUUAAUUGUGUGUUGUGUGUGUAUGUUUUUCUCCCUUCUUUUUGCAGAGGAGGCAAUUUGCAAAUCGUUGCUAUCUGCCUCCCUACAAGGAAGAGAUAAAUUAUAUGAGAGGCUGUGGUGUUUGGCCUGUUUGAUAUCCUUUGCUGAUAAAUUGAAGUGCACCUUCAUAAUUAAUACCCAAUCUUUGUGGAUCGACUGUGUUGCACUGAAGCUGGAGGGUAUCUGACUAUAAUGAAAAAUGAUUGUUGUGAUGCACCCUGUCUCUCCCCCCCUCCACUUUUUUAUCACUAUUGUCAAAAAUAUGCACAGAACAAAUCUACCAGAGUUUUGUUGGACAGCGUCAGAAAGAUCUCUUGGUUUUUAUUAAACAACAUCUUCAAAGAUUCAGCAGAGACUGACUUGAUUCUGUGAGCUUUUUAACAUAUGAGAAAGCAAUGGUGAUUCCUCUUUGGAUUCCAAUCAUGGGCUCCAGUGAAAGUUUCAGAAGAUCCCAGUGUAAGGAGUGAUGAGUGGUGUCAUGCAUUCUUAAUGAAGUAUCCUUAGCACGGAUGGACAAUCGCUCUUCUGAAUAAAAGCCAGAACAUGGUACAACAACAGGGAAAAGUUAUAAGAGGGAUUUAAUAUAGUAAGUGGAGAGUAAUUAUUCUGAAGAAGACUACUCUCAUGGUGAGGUAGAUCUGUUGCCGUUGAGAUCUCAUCUUGGAAAGAAGAGUGAUAUUAAUUAGCUCUUCAAGCCAGAAUGUUUAGGAGAGAAUGCCUGUGUUCCUGCUGUACACAUAUAUGGAACUCAUGGGUAUGAAACGUUGGGAAUUCAAGAAUUGUUCCAGAAAAAAAGAGGUUUCUGUAUCUCCCUUUGAAAAAGAAGAUCUAAUGAAUUUGUGAG